rnacentral:ncRNA from 1 species
AGACGAUGCUUACGCAUCUCCUCAGCCCAAACGAAUACUGGAUAUCGAUUGCUUCUUAUAUAACCCUUAUCUAUAACUCCCG